CUGAAAAGAAAAACUGCAUCUCUGCUAUGCCCUAAUGUCGCUCAUCACCGUCGCCAGAAGGUUGCAGAGAUAUCAUCUUGAACUUUUUCCCCCACUUCUCCAAUCCAUCACUUUCCCAUCCUUAUCGUCUCCUCUUACUUCAAUCACGUUUUUCUCGUUUUCCUCCUUUGAGGCAUUCCAUCGAGCAGUUUCAAUUGCAUAUAGAAAACCUUUCCGUUUCUCCACUUUCCAGUCUUUCUCCACCCAAAACCUCAGAGACCCAUUUGAGCUCAUUCAGCAGAGAAUUCUUACCCAUGAAUCUCUCGAACCUGACAUUCUCGAUUCACUCAAACGGGCUGCCUACUUCCCUGACGAAGCAGAGGCUGUGGCAUCUGUUGAUGAGUCAGGCAUUAAAGCUGAUAAAAAUUUGGUGUAUUCGGUGAUUUGGGAGCUAAGGAAAGAGUGGAGACUGGCGUUUUUGGCUUUCAAAUGGGGAGAGAAAUGGGGCUGUGUAGAUGAGAAGUGUUGUGAGUUGAUGGUGUGGGUUUUGGGUAAUCAUAGAAAGUUCAACAUUGCUUGGAUUUUGAUUCGAGAUUUGCAUCGGUCUUUGAUGAAUACUCGGCAAGCGACGCUUAUUAUGAUUGAUAGAUAUGCAGCAGCAAAUGAUCCAGGCAAUGCUAUUCAGACGUUACACAUUAUGGAGAAGUUCAGAUUGGCCCCUGAUGAAGAAGCAUUCUACUCCCUCCUGAAUGCUCUCUGUAAACAUGGAAACAUUGAAGAGGCCGAAGACUUUAUGCUUGCUAAUAAGAAGCUCUUCCCAUUGGAGACUGAAUCAUUUAACAUUAUUCUCAACGGAUGGUGUAAUAUAUGUGUUGAUGUGCUUGAAGCAAAACGAGUUUGGAGGGAAAUGUCAAAAUACUGUAUUGCACCUAAUGCAACUUCUUAUACGCUCAUGAUAUCCUGCUUCUCAAAGGUUAGAAAUCUUUUUGAUUCAUUGAGACUUUAUGAUGAAAUGAAGAAAAGGGGUUGGGUCCCAAGCAUUGAGGUUUAUAAUUCGUUGAUUUAUGUACUAACUCGUGAGAACUGCCUCAAAGAAGCUCUCAAAGUCCUGGAUAAAAUGAAAGAAAAUUGUUUGCAGCCUGAUUCUAACUCUUACAACUCAAUUAUACGUCCCCUAUGUGAGGAAAAAAAGCUAGCAGAGGCUAGAAACAUAUUGGCUGCCAUGAUAGAGGAGAAUCUCAGCCCAACAAUGGAGACCUAUCAUUCGCUUCUUGAAAGCGUUGGUUUUGCAGAAACUUUGGAAGUCCUUAACCAAAUGAGAAUAAAUGGUUUAGCUCCCACUGAGGACACAUUUCUCGUAAUUCUUGUCAAGUUCUUCAAGCUGGAACAACCUGAGAAUGCAUUGAAGAUUUGGGUAGAAAUGAAGCAAUAUGAAGUGACACCUAAUUCGACACAUUAUACAGUUUUGGUGGAAGGGCUAGCUAGAUGUGGAAUGUUAACCACGGCUCAUGAAUACUAUGCUGAUAUGAGAUCAUAUGGAUUUUCAGAUGAUCCAAAGCUUCAGAAGAUUUUGAAAGAAUCUAUACAAGACCAGAUUAGCAAAGAAAAACAGUUGGGAAGACAAAUUAAGAGAGAUCAACAUGUACGUCAUAAGGUAGGCAGCGUAGUAACAGGAAAAGGUAGAAAAGGAAGAAAAGGCAUACAUACAUGCGCAGAAAAUUGUAGUCUAUUGUGGAGCUGUGAGUGAAAAUAAAAAAAAUUCAGUGGAAGACCAUUUCCAGCAGAUAACAAUCUCUCAUUAUUGGAGCAACUAUGGGUAUUCUCAGAUUUAAAGGAAUGACUACAGGACUUUCUGGUGCAAGAUUUAAGGUACAGAGACCCUUACAGCAUGUGCUGGCUUAUUCCGAACCAUUUGCUUCUUUACCUAUUAAUAAACAGGUCUGACCUAAGUUUCUUCCAUGGACUCUUACCUAGACCUGGCUGCACUCUGGUUUGUAACCAGACUGGAACCGAAACAAGCUCAAAACCAGAUUGAUCAAAACUGAUCUUGAAACAGGCUGAAACCCUGUGAUAGUGGUGAUUAUCAGCCAAUGUUAAAACUCUUUUCUUUCACUCUGUAUUUUGAAAAGUCCCACAUCAAAUGCCACAUUUUCUUAUUCUUAUGUUAGUUUAUGCAAGGCAGCUGUGGGAAUUUGAGAUAAAAGGACUUCGUUACAAUGAAGGUGGUGGAAAUCAAGAGGGAAUGAUGAUAAUGGUGUAAUUUCAGUCAAAGAGGCUGAAAGGAGGAGAAAGCUUUGAUUCAUUAAAUUGGAGGUUAUGAAGUGUUAAGGAUUUCAGCAGGUCAAACAGAGAGAAACAGGUUCUGGAAAUGCAAGGCAUUAGAAAGGAAUGAGGGAAAACAGAGGGCUCAUUCAACAAAUUGCAGCAUGUAUAUUCACAUGGCGCAGUUUUCCUUUGCCAUGAAGAUCUUCUAGAUUAUCAUUGGCUACGUGUACUUAUGUGUUUGUAAGUUAUGUGGUUGCAUUAGAUGUCAGGUUAUGAACUCUUGAGAAUUUUAGCAAGGAUAAAAGAAAUGAGUAGCUUUUUAAGAGCAAUGGAGUAGAACGAAAAGGGAAGAAAAGAAGAAGCAUCUGUUUCUUUGUACUAGCCCUUUAGAAAGUGCCAAUUCCAUCUUCUAUUGUUGGGCAACAAUUGUUAAUGUUAAUAUUAUUUAUGGAUUAUGAUGAUUUUCUAUUUCAGACCAUGG
rnacentral:misc_RNA from 1 species